ensembl:lncRNA
AUGACUGAGUGUCUUUGGCAGACUGAUUCUAAUAUUCACCAGGCAUUUUCCAAGAACGGCAUAUGUACAGGGCAUUUGUUGUUGGAAGGACUGUCACGAACAAUAAAAGCCACAGAGACGGGGAACCGAGUCAGAAAACAUCACAUGAACAGAAGGUACAAGUCACGCGGUGCACAGACGGACAGAGAGGGGUUAAUACAGCGAGGAGAAUCUGAAGCUGAGCUCUGGCAGCUGCUAAACGGCUCUGACACCUCACCAGCCUUCUCAUUCCAACCAGUAAGCCACCUUCAAAGUUGCUGUCAGAUGAAAAAAGGUUGGAGAACUGUUUAUUUAGAGAGGGGAGAGAAUUAAAUUAGAUUGAAUCUCUCAGUGACUUAAAUAAGGUUUCUUUUUUUGCUGUCCAAGCAGAAAAAAGAGCCUUCACUUUUUUGAUGUAAUUGUUUUGAAAUCCAUUUUUGCUUACCUUAAUAUUUAAUUAAAAUAUCAUUUCAAAAUAUAAUUAAAUCUUCCAGUUAAAUACGAAGGGCAGAGCGUCUAUCAAAUAUUGAAGGCUGCCAGUGAGUGUUGAGAUGUUCGUCCCGCUCCACGCGAGGUAAAGAGAGCGUAGUUACGAAUGCCAGUCGUACGAAAUGAGUUCUAGUUCAUCCGGAGCGAUGGGGCGGAACCGUGCUAUUGUUCUAAUGCAUAUUGGCUGUUGUCCCGAAGCCUCUGUCAUCAGAGCUCAAAGAUAUUGCAGAUACCACCGCUACAGGGUCCCCUCGGCUGCUGAUGGACAAACUAAUUACGCAUGAAAUCAAAUAUGAUUUGUUGAAGAGGUUCAUGAAAAAAAAAAAAAACGCAAUCUUUAUAACGGUGCCCUGACACCUCAAGUCCUUAGCUGUGUGUGCUAAUGCAGCACAAGGACACCGGGACUUAUGGGUAAUAGGAUCAAAUCAAACGGGUAAAUGAGAGUUUUGAGAUCUGAAACUAAAUUAUUUGACAUGAUCUAUGAUUUUUUAGAAUGCAAGGAAUAAUUUGCCCAAAAAAUACAUGACUUUUAUUAUUUUUCUCAAAUGACAUUAAUUCGUUGAAUUAGAACAUUAAUUAGUUCGUUGAAAUACUAUGAACUAUUUAUAUUUUGAAUUAGUUUUUGAUUUAAUUUUAAGUUAAAAUUUUCAGAAUUUUUAUGUGUUUUUGUAAAUUUUAUUAAAUCUAUUAUGUCUAUAUAAUUUUUAAUGAAUUUUUUAUUUUUUUUAUUUUAAUGCAUCAAAAUAAACUAAAUGAAAAUGUUUCUUGGGCA